rnacentral:rRNA from 1 species
UACGUAGGGGGCUAGCGUUGUCCGGAAUCAUUGGGCGUAAAGCGCGCGUAGGCUGCCAGAUAAGUCCGGUGUGAAAGUCAAAGGCUCAACCUUUGAAUGCCGCUGGAAACUGUCUGGCUAGAGUCCGGAAGGGGCGAGUGGAACUCCUGGUGUAGCGGUGAAAUUCGUAGAUAUCGAGAGGAACACCGGUGGCGAAGGCGGCCAACUGGACGAAUACUGACGCUGAGACACGAAAGCGUGGGGAGCAAACAGG